GUGAGGAAUAUUGCGCAAUGGAGGCAACUCUGACGCAGCCAUGCCGCGUGCAGGAAGAAGGCGCUACGCGUUGUAAACUGCUUUUAACCGGGAAGAAACCCCAGGACGUGUCCUUGGUUGACGGUACCGGAGGAAUAAGCACCGGCUAACUUCGUGCCAGCAGCCGCGGUAAUACGAAGGGUGCAAGCGUUAUCCGGAUUCAUUGGGUUUAAAGGGUGCGUAGGCGGAGCGUUAAGUCAGUGGUGAAAUCCUGCAGCUUAACUGUAGACUUGCCAUUGAUACUGGCGCUCUUGAGUGCGCUUGAAGUGGGCGGAAUGUGCCGUGUAGCGGUGAAAUGCUUAGAUAUGGCACAGAACACCAAUUGCGAAGACAGCUCACUAAGGCGAUACUGACGCUGAGGCACGAAAGCGUGGGGAUCGAACAGGAUUAGAAACCCGAGUAGUCC
rnacentral:rRNA from 1 species